rnacentral:rRNA from 1 species
GUGCCAGCCGCCGCGGUAAUACGUAGGUGGCAAGCGUUGUCCGGAUUUACUGGGCGUAAAGGAUGUGUAGGCGGAUAUUUAAGUGAGAUGUGAAAUCCCCGGGCUUAACUUGGGGGCUGCAUUUCAAACUGGAUGUCUAGAGUGCAGGAGAGGAAAGCAGAAUUCCUAGUGUAGCGGUGAAAUGCGUAGAGAUGAGGAAGAAUACCAGCGGCGAAGGCGGCGUUCUGGGCGGAAACUGACGAUGAGG